rnacentral:rRNA from 1 species
GACGAACGCUGGCGGCGUGCUUAACACAUGCAAGUCGAACGGAAAGGCCCUGCUUUUGUGGGGUGCUCGAGUGGCGAACGGGUGAGUAACACGUGAGUAACCUGCCCUUGACUUUGGGAUAACUUCAGGAAACUGGGGCUAAUCCCGGUUAGGAGCUCCUGCUGCAUGGUGGGGGUUGGAAAUUUUCGGCGGUUGGGGAUGGACUCGCGGCUUAUCAGCUUGUUGGUGGGGUAGUGGCUUACCAAGGCUUUGACGGGUAGCCGGCCUGAGAGGGUGACCGGCCACAUUGGGACUGAGAUACGGCCCAGACUCCUACGGGAGGCAGCAGUGGGGAAUAUUGCACAAUGGGCGGAAGCCUGAUGCAGCAACGCCGCGUGCGGGAUGACGGCCUUCGGGUUGUAAACCGCUUUCGCCUGUGACGAAGCGUGAGUGACGGUAAUGGGUAAAGAAGCACCGGCUAACUACGU